ACAUUGGAGGACAAGUUCUGGUCCCAGCACCCGCGGUUAAUUCCAGCUCCAAGAGCGUAUAUUAACGCUGUUGCUGUUAAGGGGUUCGUAGUUGAAUUGUGGAGUAUGGCCACGGGAUUCAGUCCUUUUCCCACGGUCUAGGAACGUCCCGACCAUACUCCGAGAACGUCAGAAACUAAGAUCACGGAAGCGUUUUUUACAAACUGCCACCGACUACGCGAGCAAUGUUCGCUGGUGGACGUCCGUGUUUUUUACUGUGACUAAAGAAGUGCGACCAAGGCAGUCCAUCGACAUGAAUUAGAAAGCAUGGGAUAACAAAGCAGCAGCCUAUGAGCUACCGUUUAGGCUUUUGUUGGUUUUAAAGGUUCGUGGGAGAUUACGGGCGUGUAGGACCGGCGUUGGGGGUUUUCCAAAAUCCCCGCGUCUCCUCCUGGCAUCGGAAACGGUGCUUGCGGGGCCUGCUUCGCUCAGGAAUGAAGGAGGGUUGCUCGGGGGAGAACGUACUUGGGCGUGAGAGGUGAAAUUCUUAGACCGCCCAAAGACGAACUACAGCGAAGGCAUUUUCCAAGGAUACCUUCCUCAAUCAAGAACCAAAGUGUGGGGAUCGAAGAUGAUUAGAGACCAUUGUAGUCCACACCACAAACGAUGACCCC
rnacentral:rRNA from 1 species